GAAACCCUACAGUCCGAAUUCUCUCUAUAUCAGGCGAGCAUUUGUGUGCAUGGGUGUUUGAAUGUGUUUAUGUUUUGAAUGUGUAUAUUUAUGUGUGGUUCUCCAUGUGUAUAUUUGUGUGUAUGUAUGUGAAUCUGUGGGUAUUUAGGCGUGUUUAAACCCCCUACCUAUGUCUUCCAUUCCCCUGAUGCACCCAAGGGGGGCUGUAGCCCCAGGGUUUUUUUCCUCUUGAGUCCCUCCUUUGGUUUGUGUGGGGCCACUUGCCCUGCCACCCUAAUUUUCUAUUUCUGUUCCUGUAGAAAGGAGGGGAGAAGAGGGGGGAGUUGGAGCCAAAGGAGGAAGAGCUGUUCUCCUCCCCACAUACAGCCCAGCCCUUUCCCUGGCUUUGUUUGUAAACUCCUGGGCAAGCAGUGUGAUCUGGCAGCCCUGCUUGGUCCAGAAAAGGGUCCAGAAGGCCAGUGUGAAGGACUGUGGCCCAGCCCAGAGGUUGGGAUGGGAAGAAUUAGCCUCUUGGGCUUCUUGUCCCUUCAUAUGUCCUCCAGAGAGGGAAUCAAGCUGAGCUAUGGGACAGGGGACAGUUUCUCUUCCUGGAUGCUUCCAGCAUAAGGUCCCGUGAGCAUCAGAGAUCAGUUUUUUGUUUUUUGGUUUGUUUGUUUUUUGUUUUUAAAUUUCCUGGUUAGGACCUGUAGGAGAAUGGAUUCUUGUUUGGGACCCCCAAUGCCUGCCCCAGGUCUGCUUGGGAGUGUUGGGAAAAGCUAUUUACCCUCUUGGGCAUCUUUGUCCUGCAUUUUGUGGGGGAGGACAGGUAUUUUAGAAGCGGGAAUGGUGAGAAUAUUCCCUCAGAGCUGCAGAGCUAUCCCCAAAGCAGGCCUGUCUCUGAUGCAUUGGUGCUAUUCUGGGAGCCAUGAGGUGAGGGUGGCCCUGGAGUCAGAGUCAGGAGAUGGUAGAGAGGGACCUGAGGGAGAGGACUCCAGGGAGUUGGAUCCUGCUGGCUUGUAAUCUCUGGGACCUGGGACCAAAGAGGAUCUGCUCUUUCCUCUGACUUCCUGCUCUCAGGAUUCUGCUUCAGCCUCUGACCCACAGACCUUUCCUGCUAAAACCCCAAAGCCCUGACCCAGAGCCUCAGGCAAGCCAUAGCCCCCAUCCUAGGGGACUCCUUGGUCUCAAUCCUCCAGAGGGGCUCCCUCCCACACUUCCCCUCCCCCAUUCCUCCAGUUUGUUCCUGUCACCACAGCUGAUAUUGGCCUGCAAGACAGGAUCUUAAGGACAACCCUGCUAGUAUUCAUCUUCCAGUUUCUCAGGAUCAGCAGAGUUUAGGAUUAUUGUGAGGCUGCCUGGAAGGUUAGAAAGGAGAAUUGGGGAACAUAGGGGUGGGAACAUAGAAUUCCUCCACUGGAACCCUGUUUCCCUGCCCUUUUAGUCUUUGGCCACAUUGUGUCACAGUGGACAGAACAUUCUGCAAUCAUCUGCGACAUAACCCCUUCCAUCCCACCAUCACCAAAUCUUUUCUUCCCUUUCUGGUAACUACCUGCCACCCAGUCCCAAGGCUUUGUGGUUUGUUUGUUUGUUUGUUGGGUUGUUUGUUUGGUUGGUUGUUUGUUUGUUUGUUUGUUUGGCAUAAUUGGUUGAACUCUGUCACAUAGCUUUGGUCAGCACAGCUGGGGGUUCAGGGGGCACACAUGGUGCCACCUGUCUGUUUUGUGGCUUAGGGCCCCCUGCCUCCAUCACCUCAUCCAGAUUAUCUUCAAAAACCAGGCCAACUGCCCUAAUGAUUUUAUCUCCUAUCCUGUGGUUUUCCGAAACUCCAGACUCCAGUGUGUGGGCAGCAGGGAUCUUCUUGAACUCCUAGUGCCCAAAUCCAUGGGCUCCUCCUGCAGAGAUAGGAGCUGUUUUGGGUUUGUCUUCAGACUCACUCUCACUUCUGCCAAAAUGGGAGAUCCUCAAGGACUGGGUCCUUGAUGGGGGGAUUCCAUCUACUUCAGACCUUCACAGGCCAGGCAGAGCCGGAACCGGGCACCCUUAAGUAUUGGCUGAGUGAGUUUUUGUCAAGCUAAUGGAGUAUAAACAAUUGUGCAAGGAGGAGGGGGAAGGUUUGGGCCUUGGCAGUCCCACCUCAGAGGAGUGUUGGAGAUUGUGAGAUUUGGAAAGGGGAGUAAGUAAUUUAGAGGAAGUUGGGGUGAGGGUUGGUGGGAAGGAACUUUGCCAUUGCUCCAGGAUCCCACCUUCUGCUCCGUAUCCCUUCACUCCUGGGAUCCAAGGCUGGAUCAGGAAGACUCUCUAAGGGCUCCCCAACCCUAAUCUGCUGGGUGUCUUCUCCUCUGGAGGUGGAAGCAGCUGAUCCCUGGAGUCUGCUCCACGGAGAGAAUGCCUGUCUUCAGAGCCUGAUCUAUACUCUAUCCUGACUCCUGAAUUCCUGCCUGCUGCCUAUGCUGCCAGAAUCCAGCCUUAUUCCAUAUCCAGUGGGAGGGGAAGGGAUUAUUCUGCCCCAAAUCUGCUUUCCUCCUAGUUUAGUGAAUAUUCCAGACAAAGAGGCGGCAUGGCUAAGGAGACCCUGUAGACUCAAACAAAUUAUUCCUUAGUAUGAGAGAAUAAUUCAAGUAACCCCCCAAACACUCCCUCCUCUUUAAUCUGGAUUGUUUUGCUUGCCCCAUUCAUUUCUAGGUAUUUGUGUAAGCAUCAGCAUUGGCUUUCAGGCCAGAGCUACCCUCAGAAAAAAUGUUCUGACACUUCUUGAAAUGAGUUAGCUUGACCACCAAUUGGGAUCAUUUCUUUCCCCCAGGGAUUUGCUACUGUGACACUCCUUGUGGAAUCAAGAGAGUGUUUCUUCUGCUGUAGAAGUAGACUCCAAUAGUUGGCUGCCUGCCACCCUGGCUGAACCAGGACUGCCCACUUGGUUUUUACAUUCUGCCCUAGGCCACUUUCUGCAGGAACAACAAUAACAAUAACCAUGACAAUAAACACCAUAAGCCCUUACCAUGUGCUUGGCUUCAGGCUGAGUUUUAGUGACUUCAUUUAUUACUUACAACCACGUGAGGUAGGUAUUGCUAUUACCCUGAUUUUAUGUAUAAGGAAAAUGAGGCCCAGAGAAGUUAAGUAACACAUCCAAAGUCACACAGCCUAUUUGGGAGUGAUUAGGAUUUGAAGACUGUUUUUUGUGUUUUGUUUUGUUUUGUUUUGUUUUUACUUGUCUUAAUCCUGGAACUGUGAGGUUCUAACCAGAGCCCAAAGUCUCCUUGAAUGGGCUUUAGGGACUCUACAGAUCCCAGAAAUUGUGUGUAAAAUUAUGUAUGUGAGCCCAAGUGUGUACAUGUUUCCGGGGGCAAUGUUAUAUAACAUACUGGAUUUUCAAAAGGGGUUGGAGAUCCAGAAAAGGUUAAGGCAAGAAGCAGGCCAAUAGGGGAAGCGGGGAAGCUGCUUCUCCACAGGCAGGCCUAGGGAGCAGAGAGCCAGUUGCUCCAAAAUUCAGGCCAGGCUCCAAGACUGCUUCUGGACCUGCUGUCUCUGGCCAGGUGCAGCUCUCAGGACCUCUUCUGGCAAAAAGAGAUGGGGGCAGGGUCUAUGGCCAGGGCACCUAUUUGGAGCGCACCUUUCCCUGCUUCUCUCCCUCCACUUGCUGACUUCUUCUGUGAACAGAACUCCUUCAGAACUGAAAGGGUCUCUAUUCCCUCCUUUUCUGGCACCUCUGGCUGUUUUUAGUGCUUAACUCAUCUUGGGGAGCCUUCCCUGCUCUGUUCAGCCCUCUGUGCUCCUUAGCAACGCGCCCUUGGAGCCACUGUCAGAUUGCCAGGAACUGCUGGUUUGUCUGCCCUUCUGCCUCUCUCCACGUGGCUGUGAACUUGGGAACCUGAAUCUCCUCUCCAUGCCCUAUGCCAGCCUGGCAUAUACCAAGGGCUCUCCGUGCAUUCCUUGAAUGAAUAAACUAAAUGAAUGAUAAGAGACAAAAGAGAGAGCCAGUCAAGGACCUCUGCCUGUGCCCCAGAGAGAGGAUGAGGAGUGUAAGGGGAGAGUAGGUGCAUUGUUUUGCCAGCUGUGUGCAGAUGUGUGAGGCACCCCUGCUGCUCGUACCUCCAACAUACACGAAGGGUCUCAGAGACGUCAUUUUUUAAUGCUUUUUGGCCAUGGAGGGAGGUGGGGGGAGUGGGGACCUGGGUUCCGGACCAGCUGUGGUAUGACCUGACUCAGGAAUGGAGUUUGUUCUCUCUCUCUUUUUAAAAUACAGGAUUGAACCCCCUUAAUAUUUGGGGCCCAGAAGCAAAGAGGAAGAACACAGAAGAAGGAGAGAGAUGGGCAGGCAGGAAAGAGUGGCAGGAAACACGCCUCCACUCCAGUAGCCCAGGGCACUAUGAAGAGGGUAAAGGAGGGCCUGGUUCCAUCCUAGUGGAGAUGACAUUUGAAUUGAGCCUUGAAAAUCCAGGAGCAUUAGGGUAGGUGCAGAAGUGGGGACCACUUUCCAGGCAAAGAGAAUCGCUAAGCAGGAGGCCAGAUGCACCACCCUACAGGGGGAACCAGAGUGCCCCCAUAUUUUCCCCUUUCUGGCCUGGGUAGAGCUGCUGAGGUUGGGAUCAAAUCCUUGGUCCCUUGUGCACCUGCAUUAGGUCUGCAGCCUGAGGUCGGGGCUGGUGGGCUCCUGUGAAGGUUGUUUGGGGCUGUAGGAGGCAGCUGGGGAGAGCCUGCACCCCCACCCUUGCUGCUCCUGAACCUACAAUAGGGGGUCCAUUCUCCUUGCCAUCCGGAAGUUCCAAGAACUGACCUUCUCUCCCCCUAAGCAAACUCUGGGAAGUUCCCAUUGUGGCGCGGUGGAAACGAAGCCGACUAGGAACCAUGAGGUUGCUGGUUCGAUCCCUGGCCUCACUCAGUGAGUUAAGGAUUCAGCGUUGCCGUGAGCUGUGGUGUAGGUUACAGACUCAGUGCAGAUCUGAUGUUGCUGUGGCUGUGGUGUAGGCCAGCAGCUGUAGCUCCAAUUGGACCCCUGGCCUGGGAACCUCCAUAUGCCUCAGGUGUGGCCCUAAAAACAAAAACAAAAACAAAAAAAACCCAAAACUCUGCCUUUGAGCAAAUCAUCAGGCUACCAUUCCACAGAGGCCCCUGUCUGUGGGAGGGCACCAGGCUGCAGGCCAGGCAGUGGAGCCUGGACUAGGCCAGGUGGAGAGGCGAGGAGACCUCGGAGUGGUAGGCAUGGCUAGGCGGGCACAGGAAAGACCUGAGUCAGGCUUCUCAUAAUAAACUACACGUGAAUAAUUCAGAAGCCAACUGGGCCUCAUUGCAUUAAUGCCGCUGCCCUUACCGCCCCUUCUGUUCCUGCUGAGGGGAGGGGGUCAUUAACGUGCUUAAGGAGGGUAGCCUGAUAGAAGACCCCCUUCUCCAAGUCAGUGCUGCCCAGGCCAAUCCCAGGAGACCCUCUGGAUCCCGAUUCCCUCAGGCCCCACCAGUCAGAGGGGCCUACUGGGCAGUGCUGUCCCAGCUAAGCUGUUCUCAGACUCAGGGUGAGAGAAGACAGGUGGCCAGACCAGGACCAGAAUAGGGGAGGAAGGGAUAAGACCUGUGGGAAACGGAGCUGUGGUAGUGCUCAAUGGGAGAAUGCAGGCGCCAGGCCCUGAGCAAAGUGGAGAAGGCAGGCAGGCCCCUGUGCACAGAGCCCAGGCGUUGCUUUGUCCAGGUGGGAUUUUCCUUGCGAUGAGAGUGAAGCUCCAGGGAACUUUUCACCCACUGUGGAUGGCUCUGCCUCCAGCCUCUCUCAGACUUGAAUCCAGCGCCAGUCCCAGCCACCGGUUUAGGCCUAGGUCCUCACCCUAGCCCACGGCAUAAGGGAUCCCCAGACCACUGGGCCUGAGAGGACAGAAACCCCUAAGUACAUACCGCAGCCUUAUUUCGAUUGAGCAGAACCAGCUUCCUUUGGCUUUUCCACUUCCCACAUGUCCCUGGCUCCUGGUCUUGAGGGAUCACCACUCAUCUGGCGCUGAAUUCUUCCAGCUCUUCCCCAGACCCCUUCGCUUCCUUUAAGUCCACCCGGCCUGCUCCUCCUGCUCCUACAUGGUGAACCUUGGCCCUGACCCUCGCACCCGGUCCUCGGGCUCUCCUGGGGCCGGCGCGAACAAGGAUCCCAGGCUGGUCUCCGCCGGUGUCGCUGGCAGCCAGAUGAGGAGGCUCGCGGGAGGCAGCUCGCGUCCCUCCUUCCCUGCCCCACCCUCCCUCUCUCUGAAUCUUCCUCUUCUGCCGCUGCCUCCUCUUCCUCUUCCCUCCACCUCUACGCAUUUCUUUUUCUUCGUUUGGUGCGGUCCGUCGGUGGAGGCCUGAACUUACUCUGCUCGUCUUGAAGCCUCAGCUGGGCCUCCGGGUUCGAGGCCAAAUUUCCAACGGCUUCCGCAGCAGGCGGCUCGGGUGUCUUUGCAGAGGCAGGUGAGACGGGCUGAUGACACCUUCACCUCAUACGGCUGCAUCGCCAGCCGGCUGUGUCAUCUCGGGUAAGUCUCUUAACCUCUGAGCCGUGACGGGGCACAAGUCAAGAGAUUUAGGAGAUGGGAGACUAAGCCUUUUGAUUCGUUUGGGGAAAGAGGUUGCCUGUUUGGGGGCCUAAGAAGGAAGAAUACUAGGUCUGAAAUGAGCAUUUACUUUAACGAAUAUUUCGAGAGCAGCUGGUAGCUGCUUUUUAUUUUUCUUUUUUUACAGCUGAUGUAAUGCCAGGCGUUAGAAAUUUCUCCGAUCCUCACCACAUCUCGGUUUUACCGAAGAGGAAACUGAGGUUAAGAUGGCGUCCUGUUGGUCAACGCCACAGGUGGGAUUCGAACCUAGAUUCCGUUCCCAGGAGCUCGUGAGUUUAAGCCACGGCCGUCUCGCCCUGCCUGGUGAAUGGAGCCCUCGCAGGGCCGGCCGCGACCUGAGCGGGGAGGGAUUGCGCUGAAUCGACGAGCGUUCCCUCUCUCUCUGUGCUGGGAAAUCUUUGAAAUUCCUGUUUUCAGGUAAACGAUUUUGGCGGCUCCCAGGGAAGGGUGGAAACGGGAGCCGGAGAGCCACUUCCGGCUCGUUAGGCGGCGGGGCGGGGAGGGCAACUCUUCCUCGAGCGCAGGGAGGUGGCGGUAGGAGAGCGAGGUGGAAGCCGCCGCUCCCCGAUUUUUCCUCUUUCGAGUUCACCCGUCGGCUCCGUCUGUUCUGUGGGAUCCACGUCUUCGGAAGUCCUGCUCCGAGAGGGAGGAGCGCGGGGCACCCGGCGCACGGCCCGGCCCGGGGCAGAGUUGGAAACACUGGCUUGGCUCCUGUUCCAAGGCUGGAGCCUCAGUUACGAAGCAAUUGAUAUGGAAAUUCUGGGCUCCUAUGUGCCCAAGCCCGUGCCAGGCACCAAGCCAAGAACAAGACAGUAUCCAGGAUGGCAGGGAGGCUAAAUUCUCUCCAUGCCAGGGAAUAUUUCCUGACCAAAGGAUCUGUCUAGGGGGAACCUGGCCACAGCCCUGAGGCAGGCAGUCCAGCUCCCAGCCCACCUCUGAGGGAUCCAAGUGGUGAAAAGAGGCGGACAUUCUCUCAGAUGGAGACAACCACCCUUCUCUUAUACUCUAGUCUCUGGAAGUGAAACCCCAGAUCUCAGCCCCUACUGAGCAGUGCAGGCUCUUCCCCAGAGCUACCCAGCUUCCAAGUAGCCAGCGGGAGGUAUGUUACUAGAUGAUGUUUUGGGGAUCCCACCCCCACCCCACCCCCGCUAUGGGGACACAGCCCUGGCCACCUUUAAUAGUUUAUUUCAGCCUGUCUCCAUUCUAUGCCCUCCUCUCUCCCCGGCCUCAUCCCCAGAAGCUGACCUGGAGCUGGAUUCCCAAAUAAACAGUAAC